AACGAACGCUGGCAGCAUGCCUAACACAUGCAAGUCGAACGAGACCUUCGGGUCUAGUGGCGCACGGGUGCGUAACGCGUGGGAACCUGCCCUUAGGUUCGGAAUAACUCCCCGAAAGGGGUGCUAAUACCGGAUAAUGUCUUCGGACCAAAGAUUUAUCGCCUUUGGAUGGGCCCGCGUUGGAUUAGCUAGUUGGUAGGGUAAAAGCCUACCAAGGCGACGAUCCAUAGCUGGUCUGAGAGGAUGAUCAGCCACACUGGGACUGAGACACGGCCCAGACUCCUACGGGAGGCAGCAGUGGGGAAUAGUGGACAAUGGGCGAAAGCCUGAUCCAGCAAUGCCGCGUGAGUGAUGAAGGCCUUAGGGUUGUAAAGCGCUUUUACCCGGGAUGAUAAUGACAGUACCGGGAGAAUAAGCUCCGGCUAACUCCGUG
rnacentral:rRNA from 1 species